UUACAUUUAAUUAACCUAUCUGUGAAAAUAGCUGCUCUUAAUUAAACCACUGGGUGCAUGUGACAGCGUGAGGAACACCGCAACCUAGUGUGGAGUUUCUUUUCUAUUAUUUUCAUGAGUGUGUUCGAACUCACACGGAGCCACGGAGCGGCUCUGCUCUGAUCUCUUUAAUUGGUCUGCUUUAUUAUAACGUCUCGGCAUUACUCAUCACCCAGUUAGGUAACGAUCCUAAAUUUCCCCCUUUUGACGAAAAUGCGCUCGUGUCAGAAAAAAAAAACACAACAGAAAAUCCAUCAAAGCUCUCAGACAGGCCGAGACUCGUGACUUACGAAUAAAAUUAGUGAACUGCCUCGCAGCAUCGGACCAUUACUCUGAGCUCAAAAAUAAUUGUCCGAAGACUUAUCUAGCUCUCGAGCCUGAGAACCGCUGUCCAUCAUUUUAAUGAGAGGGAGGCCCACAUUGGAGAUCAACACUCCCGGUUUACCCAAAAUGCCACACGGAGGCUCAAAUAAAUCAACCUUUAAUAGGUCCUCUCUCUGAACAACACUCGAAUCAGAGAGUGGCGUCGCAGAGAGAGACGGCGGUUCGGCUUUCUUUUGUAGAACAGCGAAGAACAAGAGACACUAUUGAUUGAUCCUUCUUAAUUAAUGAGUCCAAAAUAGAGCCAGUCCCUGACUGCGGUGCAGCCGUGAUUGAUUCGGCUUUUACUCUGCCAGACUCGCUGGGAAUGAGAACGCCUUUCGCCAUAGCCACUUUGAACCGCAUCGCGUCUGAUUUCACAAUUGGUCACACGCUUGCAACACUAAUCAUCGCUACCCGGGCCCAGCGUUUUCAAGCGUCUUGAUUUUUUGAAAGACCUUUGGUUUAUUGGUUUUACGGUGAAGCGCCGAGAACCAGGUUUAAUUUAGUCCGGAAACAUUAAUCAAGAGAUAACCCAAUCGUCUGGCGACAACAGGAAAUUAAUCUAUUAAUGCUUUUCUGCAAGACAGAGACAAAACGAUGGAGGGGUGAAAAAAAUGCCCGGAAGAACGCACCAAGCCGACUUAUUCUACAGUUGAUUAUGCAGAUGAAAAAUGUCCUUCUAAAGCGUACUGAACAGAGAACGCUGACUUCAGGGUGCCAGUAAUUUUAAACCCAGAGCCACAGACUCUUCCUGUAAUGUCUUCUAAAGAGCCAUCUGGAAUCAUUACCUGGCUGCCCGAGUCAGGCUUCCUGUCAGCGCUGUUCAGCUCCAGACCGCUGUUUCUCAGCCAACUUCUUGACAGAUUCGUUUAGCGGCGGUCCUAACGCAGAGGGAUCUCGAGGUGUGUGUGGAAACACGACGAGUGGAAACGACGAAUAGAUUUGACUUUAAUCAAGCCGGGAAGAUAUGAUGGCUUUUUUGUUUUAUUAGAGUACUCACACAUGCACUUGGCUUCGAGCUAAUUUGAAUUCAUUAACCUUUAUUUUCAGCACCGGAUCAUAGCAGGAAAAUCUGAAACCCAAAGCCCUUCGAGACAGAAACUUGUCUCGAGUGUCACGACGUUUCCUGAGCGGAAUGCCGAGCAGGAGAUUUAGCCAAGACGGACGUUUUUAAAAAAGGCUGUACUUUGUGAAAAUCAGCGACGUCAGAUCGAGUGUGAAACAACUUUUAUUAGCCGCGUUUAUUUGGUCGCCAUGGUGACACCGCACACCUUUUUUUAAAUUUUUUUUUUUAUACCUGUUAUCCUUUUUUACAAUCUAUCUGUGAACGGUUAUUAAUCAGAACCACAGCAUUUUGUAAUUUGCCAGGACUCGCUCUUUGUAAAAAUGACGUGUGUCAUUUCUUGAUUUAGUUCAAGUCGCUUCCACAAUUACGGAAUCCGUUCGAACUUAUUUUUAAAAAGCUGGUAAUCCAUUGAUCCAUAAAAAUGAUGGAGUAGUUACUGCAGGAGAAUAGAGAAGGAGUGUGGAGAGAGCGUGCUGAGUUUAAUCCUGACCUGCUUGGUCAUGCAUGUGAUGCUAAUCCUCUAGAUAUGAAAUCUCAGCCUGGAUCAGAUUCCUCACUCUGAUGUGUCAUAAUGUCGGAUUCAGUUUCAUUGUCUUUUAAGUUCUUUUGUUUAUAAAAAAUAAAACCUACUAAUCUCUGUGCAGCGUGUCGGAGUAACUGGAGGUAAUGGGGAGUAAAUAGUUCUGUUAGAACACUAUAUAAGGAUGUAGUGUUUGAUAGAAGAUAUGAACUUCAGGGGUGUAGUUGUAAUCCAUCCAUCCAUCCAUCCAUCCAUCCAUCCAUCCACCCACCCAUCCAUCCAUCCAAACCGCC